rnacentral:rRNA from 1 species
AGAGUUUGAUCCUGGCUCAGGAUGAACGCUAGCGGCGUGCCUAAUGCAUGCAAGUCGAACGGGAUCCUUUGGAUUCGUCUAGAGGUGAGAGUGGCGAACGGGUGAGUAACACGUUGGUGACCUACCCCAGAGAGGGGAAUAACUAUUGGAAACGAUGGCUAAUACCCCGGAUGUCCUCAUUGUUAGAGAGUGAUGACUGAAGUUCCGGCGCUCUGGGAGGGGCCUGCGGCCCAUCAGCUAGUUGGUAAGGUAAUGGCUUACCAAGGCUAAGACGGGUAGGGGGCGUGAGAGCGUGAUCCCCCACACUGGUACUGACACACGGACCAGAUACCUACGGGUAGCAGCAGCAAGGAAUAUUGCCCAAUGGACGAAAGUCUGAGGCAGCAACGCCGCGUGGAGGAUGAAGGCCUUCGGGUUGUAAACUCCUUUUAUGGGGGAAGAGAAAGGACGGUACCCCAUGAAUAAGUCUCGGCUAACUACGUGCCAGCAGCCGCGGUAAAACGUAGGAGGCGAGCGUUAUCCGGAUUUACUGGGCGUAAAGCGCGUGCAGGCGGUAUCUUAAGUCGGACGUGAAAGCUCCUGGCUCAACUAGGAGAGGUCGUUCGAAACUAGGAAACUUGAGGGUGGUAGAGGAGAGUGGAAUUCCCGGUGUAGUGGUGAAAUGCGUAGAUAUCGGGAGGAACACCAGUGGCGAAGGCGGCUCUCUGGGCCAUUCCUGACGCUAAGACGCGAAAGCUAGGGGAGAGAACGGGAUUAGAAACCCCGGUAUUCCUAGCCGUAAACGAUGUCAACUAGGUGUAGGGGGUAUCCAACCCCCCUGUGCUGUAGCAAACGCAUUAAGUUGACCGCCUGGGGACUACGGCCGCAAGGCUAAAACUCAAAGGAAUUGACGG